rnacentral:lncRNA from 1 species
CUUCGAUUGGUCCGUCUGGCUCUUACUCUGAGAGACGUUCGGGCCCGCGAGGCUCUGGACUCACGUUUGAAUUUGUGGCGCGUAGUGUCCGAGGUGCGGAGUGGAGCUGGGCGUCUUGCUGGAGUCAGCAACUGGGCGGUGAGAGACCCUGAGCGGAGAAUGACCAGAGGGUCGGCCGGCGCUGGAGGGGCCCCGAGUCCAACAGGCCUCCUCGGAAUGCGGCACUUCCACCGCGCUGCUUCCCUCGCCUGAGGCAGGUCCUCUGCUCGCCUCCUCGCAGCCUCUAGAUUCUUCCCUCGCGCCGUUUUCCUCGCGUCUGAGAGACUGUGCGCCCGCCCGCUUCUGUCACCCCCGAAGGAAGGCUGCUCCUAACGCUACCUUCCGGGGUCUCUCCGCUUCCAUCCCUCCCCAGAAGCAGCCCUCCAGCGCUGACGUGUUUACGUCUCCCCCCACUAUCCUGCGCCCCCCCAUCUCUGUCAUAAUUACAGCCUCCUUCCAUCACCAACACUCUCAGAAACUUUCUCCCUGCCUCUGACUGUGGAAAAAUGUCUCCUGAGCAACCUGGUGAGCGUCCCACACCUCAGAGUCCAGAACGUUCCUCAUCAAGAAAGAGGGUGCUGCGGUCCUCCCCUUCCCGCCUGGGACGUAGCGAGGGCACGUGGAAAGCAGCGCGUGAAAGCGCUUUGCAAAGCGGAGGUAUUGUCUCCAUUUUACAAAUGAGGAACCUGAAGCUCAGAGAGAAUGGACCUUUAAGAUAAAAGAUUUCAAAAUAAGAUAUGAAAACACCCUCCAGUUUUUACAUGAUGAGGAGGGAGAAAACCAGUGUAUGAUUCUGAAGCUACUUAACCAUGUCAAGGAUGUAAAAGAAUUGGGAGGCUGGAAAUUAAGGAAAGGGCAUGUGUAUAAAAUUCAAAUAUCACAAGACUAAAAAGAAAUGAUCCAGUUUCUUCCUCUAAAGCAGAAUGACAACACGUCUUUAUCUCAUCACAAAGUAUCAUGAUGAGGGUGAUGUACUCCAAUUGUGAUAAAUCAUGUCAGAAAUAAAAUAGCUUAUCUCUAAACUUUAAGUGUAUUUGCACCUUAAUUUUGAGACAGUGGGAAUCAUCUGCAAAUGUUGUAAGUGAUCAGCUAACGUGUUCUCCAUUGGAAAUAACAUGUUCUCCAUUGGAAGCAAAGAUAACUAUGUAUCUUAGCUAAUUACAGACCACCAAACUUAGGGAUGUUUGUAGAUCAUUAUAGCUGAGAAGGAAUAAUAAGAAGGAACACUAACUAAAUUGCACAAAAGAAAUGAAUUCUCAUCAUUAUAACCAAGUGUUUGUUAUUGACUGCCUUCUCUCCUCUUCUUCUCCACCUCCUCAUCUCCCUAUACCUCUUUCCAUUUCAGGAGGAGUGCACAUUUUUAUGAUUUUUUUCUCUAAUCAAGCUCCAUUCUCUCUUAAGUGAGCAAUG